UCCUCGUUAGUAUAGGUGGCCAGGUAUCCCCGCCUGUCACGCGGGACACCGGGGUUCAAUUCCCCGACGGGGAG
rnacentral:tRNA from 1 species